rnacentral:rRNA from 1 species
AGAGUUUGAUCCUGGCUCAGAGUGAACGCUGGCGGCAGGCCUAAUACAUGCAAGUCGAACGGCAGCACAGCAGAGCUUGCUCUGUGGGUGGCGAGUGGCGGACGGGUGAGGAAUACGUGGGAAUCUGCCCAGUCGUGGGGGAUAACGUAGGGAAACUUACGCUAAUACCGCAUGCGCCCUUCGGGGGAAAGCCGGGGACCUUCGGGCCUGGCGCGAUUGGAUGAGCCCACGUCGGAUUAGCUAGUUGGCGGGGUAAAGGCCCACCAUGGCGACGAUCCGUAUCUGGUCUGAGAGGAUGAUCAGCCACACUGGAACUGAGACACGGUCCAGACUCCUACGGGAGGCAGCAGUAGGGAAUAUUGGACAAUGGGCGCAAGCCUGAUCCAGCCAUGCCGCGUGAGUGAAGAAGGCCCUCGGGUUGUAAAGCUCUUUUGUCCGGAAAGAAAAGCGCCGGGUUAAUACCCUGGUGUCCUGACGGUACCGGAAGAAUAAGCACCGGCUAACUUCGUG